rnacentral:rRNA from 1 species
UACGUAGGCAGCGAGCGUUGUUCGGAGUUACUGGGCGUAAAGCGUGCGUAGGCGGUUUUGUAAGUUUGGUGUGAAAUCUCCCCGGCUUAACUGGGAGGGUGCGCCGAAAACUGCAAGGCUGGAGUGUGGGAGAGGUAGGCGGAAUUCCUGGUGUAGCGGUGAAAUGCGUAGAUAUCAGGAGGAACACCUGUGGUGUAGACGGCUUACUGGACCAUGACUGACGCUGAGGCACGAAAGCGUGGGGAGCAAACAGG